rnacentral:lncRNA from 1 species
AUGUAUCUAGCAUUAUGCCUAGUGGAGAUAGAUAUGAUCGGGUGGUUCCACUGGUGGCACGAUGAUACUCCAGUGGUCCGUCAGUGAUCCAAAUUUGCCGUUCAAAAAAAAAACUAUAGUAGCAUGAAAUCUCAAGACAUAAACAAUCCAAGCAACGACAAUUGAAUUGAAGAAUACAUAAGCAAUUGAAGCAGUGGUAGUAAUGGCCAUUGAAAAAUAUAUAGCAAUACAAGUAGCAAAAUCAGUCUAACUGAUGACCAAUCCAUGAUUCAAGAAUACAAAAUAAAGGUGAUUGAUUGGAGAAUCCCAUACAUUUUGCCAAUGGUUAUUUUGUAAUAAUAGAUGGAACCUAACAAAAUAAAAUAAAAUAAAAUAAAAUAAAAGAUUGAAGAAUAGCAUAUUGGUAAAUGAAAAGGUUGUGAAAUAUUAUUAACAAGGAUAUACAUCAACUAUAAAAUUUAGUUUCUCUCUCUAUAAAUAAUAUUAUCCUACAAAAGUGUCUUAAAAUGUUUUUAUUUAUUUUUUCAUAUAAAAUGCAUUUCAAAUUAUUUUAUGUUAUGAGAACAUAUUCCAAAGUUUACUCCCUAUACAUUGAUUAGCAUCACUUUGACUGCUUUUUUUCAUUAAUCAUUAAAAUAGAUUGUAUUGUAUCGAUUAAGUUAAAGUAAGUUUAGGCAUUUGAUAACGGUUCCGUUUUGGGUCAGUUUAGUGGUAACAUUUUGUAACUUAGAACCGUUAGUGUAAACUAAACCGAACCGUCUAUUCAACCUUUUAUAUGUGUUUAUGCAAUCAAUUAUAUGUAUUAUAUUUAUGAAUAUACUUCUAUUUAAAUUUAUUUUUUUAACUAACAGUU